GACGAAGGCAAUUUGUACUGGGACAUCGUGGCCGAGCCACAGGACCUCCGCCUUGACGAGCUGCUGGACCUAGGCCUCGACGAGAGGCCGGACCUCAGCCUCCCUCUGGUUUUCAUGGUACGGUCCCUUCCCCUCUCCACCAAAUCUUGACUUGUGUGUUGUUCUGCUCUGCACUGAUUGUAUUGCCAUUGUUAUAACUCUUCUAAAUCCAUUUUUGAUAUGGUGGCCCGCUCCAGCUGGAACAGUUUUGUAGAGACAAAUUGGAAGAGUGCAGCUGCCCUGGCUCAUGGAAUUGGAAGAAUUUAUGUUUUUUUCUACUCAGAAAGGAAGCUAUUUUUUUUCUGGAUCAUAGAUAGAAAGGAUGCAACUUUGUCACGGGUAGUAGAUACAAAGUUCAGUGUCUACAACAUAUAAACCGGAAGCCGUGCUUCCGGUUUCAACAUAUAAACAUUUUUGGUCAUACAAUCUGAAAUUUUAGCAUUUCACAUAGACAACCUAUCAUUUGUGGUUCACCACAUUUACAUGCUCUGAUUCCCAUGCUCAUGUGAAUAAGUAUAUGGCAGAAAUUUCAAAGUAUCAUGUCAGUUAGAAUUAUCACAUGGGUACCCAUUUUUCUCCGUGAAAAUACCUCAUGUAAUGCUACGUUCCAUAUUUUCUACAUUAUGAUAAGUUCAUAGUUUAUAUAUUGUUUCAACAUUAUAUUAUGUACUGAGACAUGCAGCCAUACAUUCUAUUUCUGCUUCAAUAUAUUCUCCCAUGUGCAUUCUAAUAGACAACUGGCCCUCUUUUUUGUGAUAAUGAACUGCGUGAUUAAUGAUAGUCCUUGAUGAAAUGCCACUAAGUUAGUCUACUAUCUCAAGUCAGAUUCGAUAAUAAUUUAUUUUACAUUGCCAUCUUUCUUGAUUACGGACCGUGCCGUUCCAGAUGAUCUAAGGUAAUCAGAUCCAACACCAAAAUUCAAUUUGAGUUGCUUUUAAAUGCUUCUGGGAGGCAGAUGAUGUUGAUAUGCUACAUUGUAGUUUAUGUUUGGUAGGCUAUGAUAUUUUUGCCCUAAAAUGUCACAUUUCUUAAUUCCAAAAUUUAAUUGUAGGCUGAACAUGAGCAUGUCUGUUUGUGGUGUUGAGGUAAAGCUCAGUUUGUUACACAGCAGAGCCAAGGGCAUGUCGUGGACCAAGUACAGCAAGCUGGGCAGCGUGUGCAGGUUGACAUGCUACAAUAAUAUGCUUUUUAAACUGCUACAACGCAUGGCCAUUCGGCCAUUCUCUAAAUUAAUGCUUAUAUUGUUAGCAUAGACCUUUCAGCUAAACAUGGUUAUGGUUAGAAAGAAAAAGAGUACUAUUAAAUCUUACUGAUUUAUUUCAUAUAACCGUUUAUUUUAGCGAGGACAAUACUUUUGUAAAGUCUACACUGCUCAUUUGCAUAUUUUCAACUAUAUACGACAAACUAAAGUUCAGAUUAUGUUUGGGCAACCUAAUCUGAGGUUUAGAUUAUACGUGUCAUGAUAUAGACUGCAUUGCUCAUCCUUCUAUUUUUCUCUAUUUUUUCUUAUUCUGCAGCUAGCUUCGGGAGUGAAAUGAGAUAAUACAGAGCAUGACAUGUGCCGAUAGCAUGUAAGUUGUUUUCUUAUUUGUUACCUAACUUCCAGUCUCAUUUCCUAUUCCAAGAUAUGUUUUACUUCUCGCCACUUCUAGUAUGCAAGUACUGUUAAUCAACUAUUGCUCUGUCUUAUUUUGAUCAGUUUAUCUCAUAGCAUUGGUCACAAAUGACUUCUAACUAAUUUAAUAGCAUGUUGUCAGUUCGUAAGAUUCCCAUGACCAAUUGUAAUGAGCGGGCCCCAUUAGCAUCUGCAGGUACGAGAACCAUGUAACAAUAAUAACAUGCACUUGGGUGCUCAUACAGUACACACGCAGCAACAAAGGCUCCUUGAAACACACACUCAACUGCCUGCAAAUUAGUUUUCUUUUGAAGAAAUCAGCUUUCUGGUUUGAGUAAGCGUGAACGACAUUCCUAGCUAGGGCCAACAACAAUAAGGUGAGAACUAUCACAGUGAUGGAUAUAAUGCUAGAGGAGCUAAAUUGCUUACCUUAUGAUAUUCAGGGUUCCGUAGUUUGUUUCUAGCAAUCUUUGUAUCAUUUCCUUAACUCCAUGGUCAUGUAGUUAUAACUACUCUCUUGUAUUCCAUAUACGUUCGUCUAGGAAAUUGGAGGAGCUGAAUUCUAUAUUGGUUCCUUGUUGACGUCUGACCCUGUUGAUGUAGUUCUGUAUUGUACAGGUAUAAAUUCCGAAUCUCAAACUUCCAACAAUAUUUAAAUUCUUUAGUAAUAACUCUGCAUGAGUGUCAUCUUUAAGGCUCAGAAACUGGUAAUAAAAAAAUUGCUUGGUCAUACAAUCUGAAUUUUGACCAUUUCACACACACAACCUAUCAUUUGUGGUUCCGUCAAUAUCACAUAUAAUCCAAUAAUUGGACAAUAUAUACUUCUACAAGACAGUGCCUUUUAGUUGGGCUGAAUUAUACGACAUGUUAUUGCUCAUAGUCAUUUGCCAACAUUGUGCAAAUGGUUUCCACCAAAGAACAUGUAGUGUUAUUUUUAAAUUGUGAUAGGUUAUGUUCUUCUUUUUUACUCGCUUCCUCGUCUCAUUCUUGAUAACCGAAGCGCCAUUGCUUUCCAUUCAAGUAAUGUAUGUUGGCAAAAAGAAGGUUUUAUAGCUCUCAAAUCCUUGCCAGUUGUGUUCUUCUUUUAUGUCUUUAAUAGCAUGAACAAAUAUAUGUUCAGGUGAUUGCACUUGUGGAAGGAUUAGCCCACUAGUGCUCAGAGGGAACGUGCAUUCUAAGCCAGAUUCAGGUGCUCUGCUCCAGCCUUCAACAAGUCAAUCUUGUUAGUACUAUGGAGUGCAAACUAUGCAGAUGAUGUUUGUGUUUUGAAGUUUCUACUAAAACACAUAUAACUCUUUGGGUGGGUCAGGUGCCCCCUUUCUCAUACAAUUGAGCCGUGUUCACUUUGAGUGUAACUUGUAGCCUUGUAAAUUAAAGAGAACAUGUGUUGAUUCCCCAGUUUAUAGCUGACCUUGCACGCCAAAGUUGGACAAGAUAUUAUUGAGCUAAAGAUAUUCAAAUCCAAGGCUGAGGCUAAUAUCGUAGCUAUGCCCAAGGCCUUGAAUAAAAUAAUC
rnacentral:lncRNA from 1 species